rnacentral:tRNA from 1 species
GUCAACGUGGCCGAGUGGUUAAGGCGUUUGAUUCGAAAUCUAAUGGGAUUUCCCGCGCAGGUUCAAAUCCUGUCGUUGACG